rnacentral:rRNA from 1 species
GAUGAACGCUAGCUACAGGCUUAACACAUGCAAGUCGAGGGGCAGCAUGAACAAAGCUUGCUUUGUUUGAUGGCGACCGGCGCACGGGUGCGUAACACGUAUCCAAUCUGCCCGCGGCUCGGGGAUAGCCCAUCGAAAGAUGGAUUAAUACCCGAUGGUGUGGCUUCUCCGCAUGGGGUUUCCACUAAAGGUUUUCCGGCCGCGGAUGAGGAUGCGUAUGAUUAGGUAGUAGGCGGGGUAACGGCCCACCUAGCCUUCGAUCAUUAGGGGUUCUGAGAGGAAGGUCCCCCANACUGGAACUGAGACACGGUCCAGACUCCUACGGGAGCAGCAGUGAGGAAUAUUGGUCAAUGGUCGAGAGACUGAACCAGCCAAGUAGCGUGAAGGAUGACUGCCCUACGGGUUGUAAACUUCUUUGUUUGGGAAUAAAUGAUACUACGUGUAGUAUUUUGCAUGUACCUUACGAUAAGCAUCGGCUAAUUCCGUGCCAGCAGCCG